GAGGGUAUAGCUCAAGUGGUAGAGUGCAUGCCUCGCAUGCAUGAGGUCCUGGGCUCAAUCCCCAGUACUUCCU
rnacentral:tRNA from 1 species